rnacentral:lncRNA from 1 species
GAAAACAUGUUUGAAAAUUAGUUAUUUCAGUGAGUUCUGCUUAUCUUAAUUUCCUUCCUACUAUCCCUGCUUAUUUGUGAGACUAGAUGAGAGAGACUGAGAUACCCCAGUUUAUGGUGGGGCCAGUUGACCUGAGGGAGAGCCAGGCUGCCUUCUCCUAUCUUAUCACCUACACAUAUUCAGAAGUUCAUGCCAGGUGGCUCUAAAAAAAAAACAAAAAAACAAAACACCGGUCCUUCAGGGGUUGGGUUGGGUUUAUUGUUUGAGUCUAUUCUACAGCCUCUGAGAGCUAUGCUCAAGGGUUUAUGGUGAAGAUGUCUGCAUGUGGGAUAUAAAGCCAAGACCGACGAAGCAGAUCAGCACUUGGUGAGAGAAUCUCCUCUUCCAGGCAGGCCUGGGCUGGCUAAAUCGUCUGUCUUAGAAACCAACUGUGGUGGUUUGAAUAGAAACUGGGAGUGCCGCUAUUGGAAGUGUGGCCUUGUUGGAGGAAGUACGUCACAGACUUUGGACUUUGAGGUUUCAGAAGCUCAAGCCAGGCCCCGUGACUCUCUCUUCCUGCUGCCUGCUGUUCAGGAUGUCGAACCCUUGGCUCCUUCUCUGGCACCACGUCUGCCUGUGCAUCGCUAUGUUUCCCGAGAUAGUCAACUAAACCUUUGAACUGUAAGCCAACUUAGUGGUUUCCUUUACAAGAGUUGCAUUGCUCAUGGUGUCUCUUUACGGCCAUAAGACCCUAACAAAGACACCAGCCAACAAACAAAACUAAAGUGGCUGAAGACCCUGGAGGCUGCUCUUUGUCUGUGAGCUUGUUCAUCAUGAAUGUGAACCAGGCAUAAUGACAAUCAAAUGCUUUAGACCGGGAGACGGCAUGACGUCAGACGUGGGUUGGAAAAGGCUGCCCGUUCUUCUGUGCGAAUCACUCACCUGUGGCGUCUUGAAUCACUGAGAAAAGUUUGAUGACCCUAGACUGUCAUCUCAUAAGGAAGCCCAACCUACAACCACAUGUAGGUCACUGGCUGACAGCCCCCAGAAGUCUCAGCUGGCACCAACACCAGCCACUAGAUGACUCUGUCCUCCAGUGAGGGCCUCAGGCAUCGUUCAGCAAUGUCAGAGUAUAAUAUCCUCACUGGGCUGUUGGGAGGAAGACAUAAAAUAACGCACAAAGAAGGCCUUUGACAAGGUUGCAUAAAGGUGGUUAUUAUUUUUGUGGGUCUUUUUUUUUUUUCACCGUCGUGUCCGGCCAUAUACUCAUUCAUAUAAGGGAAAUGUAGAAACACAGAGGAAAAAAGAAAGUCUCCAAUUUUAUUCUAGUCGACAGGGGAGAGGGUCAAGAAGUAGAAAACGUUUCUGAACUAUUCUAAAAGGGAUGGUACAGAAUCCAGUUCAAAGACAAGUGAGAUUGAUGGCUGAAGGUGUCUAUUAGAGGAAGAGACCAUGAAGGACCAAGAAAGGCUUCUUGCCAGAAAUUGGGUAUACACUGGAGGGAGAGAUUUAGGGUGUUGGAGGGGAGAUGGAAAGGAUGUGGGAGUGGGGAAAUAAACUGAGCGAAGGCAUAGACCAGGUAGGAGGGAAAGCCUGGGCCAAGGAAAUCUAUCUGUUGAUGAUGGACCAUCGCACGCAGGCCCAGCCCACGAGCCUAGGUAUCAAUCAAGUUAAGUAAGAAUUCAACGUGAUUUUUGAAUCCCUGUAAGGAGGAAGGUUCCAUGGCCUCUAGGCAGGAAUGAGUGCUUCUCAUAGGACUGCAGUCUUCUCCAAAGCACAGGAGCACUUUCUCCUAGGCUCACAGCACCCUAAUUCCCAGGGAACAUCUAAGAUGGUCUCCUUCUUGCCACACUGUACCUGAGCUUGCCCCUGCUGGCCAAGGCUGAGUGGGGUAGGAUGAGCACAGGGCCAGCCUGGGCUAACUUGACCUGUGGUUAUUCUCCAGGUGGUGCUAGUGUUCCUAGGAGUUCUGUGGCUCUGAGUCGCUGAAGAUGAAAGUUGGUAUCUUGGCCAGACAAGUGGUCUUCCUGUCUUGGUGCAGUCUUCCUCUGGGUCUCCUAGAGUUUCUCCAGGAAAUAGUAACCCCUGUGCAUAGGCUAGGAACUCUGACUUGCUUCUUGAGUGUGUUUCUGUCUGUAUUUUAUGAACAGCACAAGCAGCAGCAGCCACAGGCAAGAGCGUCUCAAGUGUGCUGAAGAAGCCAAGUGUGCCUUAGGACCCCUGCUGUAUUCACACGCUCUGUGACUUUGGGCAGGUCAUUUUCUCUGGGUUUUAAUUUAUAUGUCAAAAAUAGGAAAAUAAAACCAAAUGCAUAGAGUGAUUGCCUUGAUUUUUGUUAAUUAAUCUAUGCUCGG